GAUGAACGCUGGCGGCGUGCCUAAUACAUGCAAGUCGAGCGAACAGAUGAGGAGCUUGCUCCUCUGACGUUAGCGGCGGACGGGUGAGUAACACGUGGAUAACCUACCUAUAAGACUGGGAUAACUUCGGGAAACCGGAGCUAAUACCGGAUAAUAUAUUGAACCGCAUGGUUCAAUAGUGAAAGACGGUUUUGCUGUCACUUAUAGAUGGAUCCGCGCCGCAUUAGCUAGUUGGUAAGGUAAAGGCUUACCAAGGCAACGAUGCGUAGCCGACCGGAGAGGGUGAUCGGCCACCCUGGAACUGAGACACGGUCCAGACUCCUACGGGAGGCAGCAGUAGGGAAUCUUCCGCAAUGGGCGAAAGCCUGACGGAGCAACGCCGCGUGAGUGAUGAAGGUCUUCGGAUCGUAAAACUCUGUUAUUAGGGAAGAACAAAUGUGUAAGUAACUAUGCACGUCUUGACGGUACCUAAUCAGAAAGCCACGGCUAACUACGUG
rnacentral:rRNA from 1 species